rnacentral:lncRNA from 1 species
GUUCGUCAAUGCUUUUCAUCGUAUCAAUUGAUUCUCCUUAUUAUGAGCAUAAAUGUGGGCAUCAUUAUUUUAAGACAUUAGUCCUUGACGUUCUUUUUUAUUUUUAUUUUGAAGUAUGUUAUGUCUUUAAUAGGCAUUAAUUCAUUCAUUUUUUUUUGGCAUGAACUCUUUCCGGAGUCCCAUUGAGCUCUUUUCCCUUGCAUUGCGCAAUGGGCCAUUGAGGCCUGCCAUUUAGAAGACUUUGGACGUCAACCUCAUUUACAUGGAUACGAGGAGUCGAGAGCAUAAAAAUGGGUUGAGGCCCCACAUCUGAAGCGGCUGGAAGACUUAGAUGUCUCAUUCUUUUACUUAUUUAGCCAUUUANNNN